UGUUCUAAAAACUAAAAGAGAACUUAGCAUGACCAUUGCAGUGCAUUAUUGCUCGUAAUUCCGUUGUCUUCCUUGAAGAGUUGAGGUGUUUAGGCGUUAGGGUUUCUUUGCUUCGUACACUGCCCUCGAACUUGCCAGCAGCAAUCAUAACAUAAGAAGAAGUUGAUUCAGUCCAACGACCCUACAAUGGAUGAUAAUCAAGUUCCAGAGGAUACUCCUCGGAAAUGCAUUGGUCCAUCUUCUGUUUCGGCUUACCGUGAUCCUAAAUACUGGAAUAAUCGUUUUUCUAGUGAAGAAAAUUACGAGUGGCUCAAGGAUUACUCUCAGUUUCGGCACCUUGUUCAACCCCAUUUGACUCCCACUUCUUCUGUUUUGGAGCUGGGCUGUGGAAACUCACAGUUGUCUGAAGAAUUGUACAGAGACGGAAUCACCGAAAUAACUUGCAUUGAUUUAUCAGCUGUUGCUGUUGAAAAUAAGAAGAAGCAGUUGCUAUCUAAGGGUUUUAAAGAAAUAAAAGUUCAAGAAGCUGACAUGCUAGACCUACCUUUUAGCAAUGAGUCUUUUGACGUUGUUAUUGAAAAAGGAACCAUGGAUGUACUGUUCGUGGACAGCGGGGACCCAUGGAAUCCAAAGCCAGCAUCAGUAACUAAGGUCAUGAAGAUGCUUGAGGGUGUCCAUAGGGUUCUAAAGCAGGAUGGCAUUUUCAUCUCCAUUUCGUUUGGUCAGCCACAUUUCAGGCGUCCUUUUCUCAACGCCCCAGAAUUUACAUGGUCUUUUGAAUGGAAAACUUUUGGCGAUGGAUUUCAUUAUUUUGUCUACAUUUUGAAAAAGGGAAAGAGAUCGUUGGACAAUGAUGAAUUAGAAACUAGUCAGAAGUUCAACACACCGCUUAUAUCUCCAUACCAUGAUGAAUUAGAAAGUGAAGAUUUUAUGUUCCGAACUAACAUUGAGGAACUCCAUAGUUAGAACUCAUUGAACUGGUUAAUUGUUUAUUAAUGUAGAUACAAUAACUUGAAGGAUGAAUUCAAGUUUUUUUUUUUCUUUCUUUAGAAAAAAAUUAAAAAUACUAAGAUUUGUAACAUUUGUCAACUUUGGGGUGUGAUUUAGUGCAUGAUUUAAAGUUAAAUAAGCCUACAACUUCUCCACUUGGUGUUUUAAUUCAGACUUGUAAAGUAAUGUUAUUUGAACUUUCUUUUA